AUGCUGGGACUCAUGGGUUAUGUGGCUGCUACCUGGGCCUCAGGGUCCUUGUGGGGAUUCAGCCCUUCAGCACUGCUACUACAAGUCCAGCUCUUUCUGAGGCUCACCUCAAUAGUGCUCCAGGCUGUCAGAGACUAUGCUGAUCAAACACCUCCAUUGCCAGGCAUGUUCCACCACUGGGCACAUGGUGGCUAUCAUUGGUGCAGUGGGAGAUGUCCAGUUUGGUGAGGAGCUACCAUCCAUCCUAAAUGCCCUGGAAGUGCGAGGCAGGGAAACCAAGCUGGUUUUGGAGAAGGCCCAGUCUUUUAGUGAGAGAACAAUAAGGACCAUUGCCAUGGAUGGUAUGGAAAGCAUGGUUAGAGGCCAGAAUGUCCUGGAUUCUGGUGCAUCGAUCAAAAUUCCUGUUGGCCCUGAGACAUCAGGUAGAUUUUUGAAUGUCACUGGAGAACCUUUGAUGAGAGGGGUCCUAUCAAAACCAAACAAUUCAUUGCUAUUCGUGCUGACGCUCCUUAAUUCAUGGAGAUGAAUUUUGAGCAGGAAAUUCUGGUUGCUGGUAUUAAGAUUGUGGAUCUGCUGGCUCCUUAUGUCAAGGGUGGCAAAAUUGAGCACUUUGCUGGUGCUGGAAUUGGGAAGACAGUACUGAUCAUAGAGUUAAUCAACAAUGUUGUUAAGCCUGUGGUGGGUAUUCUGUGUUUGCUGGUGUUGGUGAGAGGAUGCAAGAGGAUAAUGACUUAUACCAUGAAAUGAUUGAGUCUGGUGAUUUCAACUUAAAAAAUUCUACCUCUAAGGUAGCACUGAUAUAUGAUCAAAUGAAUGAACUGCCUGGUGCUCGAGUUUGGGCAACUCUGACUAUGUUGACGUAGCUGAAUACUUCAGAGACCAAGAAGGUCAAGAUGUAUUGUUGUUUAUUGAUAACAUCUUUUGUUUCACCCAGGCUGGCUCAGAGGUAUUGGCUUUAUUGGGCGGAAGCCCUUCUGCAGUGGGUUAUCAGCCUCCCCUUGCCACUGACAUGUGUACCACACAGGAAAGAAUAACCACCACCCAAAAGGGCUCUAUCACACCUCUAAGGCUAUCUAUACGCCUGCUGAUGACUUGACUGGCCCUGUCCCUGCUACUACUUUUGCCCAUGUGGACAUGCACCACUGUGCUGUCCCAUGUUAUUGCUGAGCUGGGCAUCUAUCCAGCUAUGGAUUCUCUGGACUCCACCUCUUGCAUCAUAGAUCCCAUUGUCGGCAAUGAGCAUUAUGAUGUUGCCUCUGGGGUGCAAAAGCAUUUACAGGACUACAAAUCCCUUCAGGACAUCAUUGCCAUCUUGGGUAUGGAUGAACUUUCUGAAGAAAAGUUAACUGUGUCCUGUGCAUUGAAAAUACAGCUUUCCUUGUCUCAGUCAUUCCAGGUGGUCGAGGUCUUUACCUGUCAUAUGCAGAAACUGGUACCUCAAAGGAGAUCAUCAAAGGAUACCAGCAGAUUUUGGCAGAUGAACACAACCAUCUCCCAGAAUGGGCCUCUAUAUGGUGCGACCCAUUGAAGAAGCUGUGGCCAAAGCUGAUAAGUGCACGGAAGAGCACUAG